rnacentral:rRNA from 1 species
UACGGGGGGGGGCAAGCGUUUGUUCGGAAUUACUGGGCGUAAAGGGCUCGUAGGCGGCCAAACUAAGUCAGACGUGAAAUCCCCUCGGCUUAACCGGGGGAACUGCGUCUGAUACUGGAUGGCUUGAGUUCGGGAGAGGGAUGCGGAAUUCCAGGUGUAGCGGUGAAAUGCGUAGAUAUCAGGAAGAACACCCGUGGCGAAAGCGGCUCUCUGGAACGGUACUGACG